rnacentral:rRNA from 1 species
CACGUAGGGGGCGAGCGUUGUCCGGAUUUAUUGGGCGUAAAGAGCUCGUAGGCGGUUUCGUAAGUCGGGUGUGAAAACCCCAGGCUCAACCUGGAGACGCCACCCGAGACUGCGAUGACUAGAGUCCGGUAGGGGAGCGUGGAAUUUCUGGUGUAGCGGUGAAAUGCGCAGAUAUCAGGAGGAACACCGGUGGCGAAGGCGGCUCUCUGGACAGGUACUGACGCUGAGACGCGAAAGCGUGGGGAGCGAACAGG